UAUUGCUCUUCAACGAGGAAUCCCUAGUAAGCAUGAGUCAUCAGCUCGUGCUGAUUACGUCCCUGCCCUUUGUACACACCGCCCGUCGCUACUACCGAUUGAAUGGCUUAGUGAGACCCUCGGAUCGAUAAGUGGAAACCUUCACAGGUAUCCUUUUGUUGAGAAGUUGGUCAAACUUGGUCAUUUAGAGGAAGUAAAAGUCGUAACAAGGUUUCUGUAGGUAACCUUGCGGAAGGAUCAUU
rnacentral:rRNA from 1 species